ACUCAAAUGAAUUGACGGGGACCCGCACAAGCAGUGGAGCAUGUGGUUUAAUUCGAUGCAACGCGAAGAACCUUACCUAGGCUUGACAUGCAGAGGACGUCGGCAGAAAUGUCGAUUCUCUUCGGAGCUUCUGCACAGGUGCUGCAUGGCUGUCGUCAGCUCGUGCCGUGAGGUGUUGGGUUAAGUCCCGCAACGAGCGCAACCCUUAUCAUUAGUUGCCAACACGUGAAGGUGGGAACUCUAAUGAGACUGCCUGGGUUAACCAGGAGGAAGGUGAGGAUGACGUCAAGUCCGCAUGGCCCUUAUGCCUAGGGCUACACACGUGCUACAAUGGUCGGUACAGAAGGCAGCGAAUCCGUGAGGUGAAGCAAAUCCUAGAAAGCCGGCCCCAGUUCAGAUUGUAGUCUGCAACUCGACUACAUGAAGUUGGAAUUGCUAGUAAUGGCGAGUCAGCAACAUCGCCGUGAAUACGUUCCCGGGUCUUGUACACACCGCCCGU
rnacentral:rRNA from 1 species